rnacentral:rRNA from 1 species
AUUGAACGCUGGCGGCAGGCCUAACACAUGCAAGUCGAACGAGUGGCGGACGGGUGAGUAAUGUCUGGGAAACUGCCUGAUGGAGGGGUAUCACUACUGGAAACGGUAGCUUAUACCGCAUACCAUCGGCGGUGCCCAGAUGGGGUUAGCUAGUAGGUGGGGUAAAGGCGCCUCUAGGCGACUAUCCCUAGCUGGUCUGAGAGGAUGACCAUCCAACCGGGGACUGAGACACGGGCCAGACUCCUACGGGAGGCAGCAGUGGGGAAUAUUGCACAAUGGGCGGAAGCCUGAUGCAGCCAUGCCGGUUGUAUGAAGAAGGCCUUCGGGUUGUAAAGUACUUUCAGCGGGGAGGCGUUACCCGCAGAAGAAGCACCGGCUAACUCCGUGCCAGCAGCCGCGGUAAUUC